GAGCGGCCCAAGAAAUAGCAACAACAACAACAACAACAACAAAAAAGACCAAAAAGACAAAAAAAAAAAAAAAAAAAAAAUUUCAUUUCCCCACCAGGCACAUUUCAAGUGUCUAAUAGACGUGGCCGGUAGCUCCUGUAUUAGGCGGAGGAGGCAGGACAUUUCUGUCAUCGCGGGGUGUUCCAUGGGGCAGCACUGAGCCGGGGGGUGUGCUCUUCCAUGGAAUCUGAUAAACAGAGGAAAGCAAAUUAGUGGGGAGCAGGGCCGUGGGUAACUGGGAACUGAGUCAAAUAAAGGCCCUCUCUGCUAUUGGGGUGGCUGUGGCCUUGGACUCUGUGUGGUGCUUUUCUCUGUCAGUGGAGUCAGUGCACAGCACACUUGGGCCAACCAUCAAACACUAGGGACCUCUGAGGCUGGAUUGAGAAAGCUGCCCAGGUGGCCUUGUGCUCCAGGGUCAGGUCGUUUCCAGGCCCGAUGGAUGACACUGUUUGCCUGUGUUCCACAGUCCCUGUGCCUGUGUGAGUUGUGACUCCUUAGGCCUGGGGGAGCCACAGUGGCCGUAAGACAUUACCCUAAAGGCUGCUGCUCUAGACCCGCUUCCCCCUCUGUCUCCCAUCCUUGGUGCAGAUAGCAGCGCCAUUCCCGUGGCCUGGUCCUGAUGUCUGUGACACAGCCUCUGCACCAGUGCAGGGUGUGGUUCCUGUGUAUGACUUUCACUUUCUCCUUACUCUGCACACUUAGCUGCAGGAUCUGAGCUGCAUCUGCGACCUACACCAUAGCUCAUGGCAACGCCAGAUCCCCAGCCCACUUAGCAAGGUCAGGGAUCGAAUCGGCAUCCUCAUGGAUACUAGUUGUUUCUUAACCCGCUAAGCCACGAUGGGAACUCCUGAGAUAUUAUAGGAUACAAAGUAGUUGGUAUGUAAUGGGUACCCAAUAAAGGAUAAUACUAUUGGAUCCCUGUGCUAGAAAACGAGCCCCUUCAUGAGGUGAACUCCUUAGGAGUAAGGAUUGUGCCUUUUAUCUCAUCAUCAUUAGAACGAUUCCAGGGACAGAGUAGCUGUGAGAUGACAUUUUUUGAAUGGAAGAUGGAUGGGCGGCGUGUGUAGCCGGUGUGGAGGAAGGAACGGAGGCUGUCUCAUGGAUUCAGGCCAGAGAUGUGGGGCCAGAGCAGGAGAGUGAUGUGUGACUCUGAGGAAAUCUUUAUGACUUGGCAACGCUUUCCAUGUUGGGAAUGAGGAAGAGUGAGACUUGAGAGAGCCAAGAGGUUCUUGCCCUGUGCACAUGGAGGGGGAGAAAAGCAGCGUUAUUAUCUUGGAUGUGCUGACCUUGACGUGGUUGGGAGAUGGUGUGACCGUGCUGAUGGGCCUCGGGGAGAGAUUGAGCUACUUGUGUGUGGAUCUAGGGGUUUGUCCCAAGGGUUAGAGGAGAUGGAGAGAGAUUUUAGCUCCAAACGUGGAACGAUUUUGGAAACAGGCUGCCUUUGAAGGUCAUCAGAUUCCUGUGGACGGAGUAGCACGAGCAGAAGCUGGUCAGCCGUUGCAGGAAAGCUGGAGCACAGUGGUCCAGUGCCUGCCCACUUGGCUGCUACAUCAGUCUGCUUUUCCUGCAAAAUAAAACCGUAAAACCUCAGGGGGACACAACAAUAAGCAUUUAGGGCCUACAGGUCUGCAGUAAACUGGAGGUUGGCUGGGCAACUCUACUGAUCCCCGGUGGACUCACCCACAGAGGUGGGGGUUGCUUGGGGGUUGCUAGACUGAGGUGACUGGCGUGGCUGGGCUCUGCUCCUCGUGUCUCUCAUCCACCCCCAGGCUAGCCCAGGCAUGUUCUCUUGGCUGUGGCAGAGAUGCAAGAGAGCAGGUGCAAGGAUGCCAGGCUGCCGGGGGUCUAGGUUCAGAACCAGCACUGGGGUCACUCUACCGCAUUUUGUUGGCUAAAGCAGACCGCAGGGCCGGCGCAGAUUCAAGAGGUGGGAGAGGAGAAUCCAUUUCUUCUGUGAGAGAAACUACAAAGCCGUGUGACAAGGCUGUGGGUUCGGAAGGGGAAGAAUAAGUGUCAUUAAUGCAACACAAAAUGCUUAGCGGUUAGACCAGCCUUUUUUGAUCUGAAUUCUAUGCACACCUAAAUUCUGAACAUUUUCCUCAGGGAUCCCUGAAAGCCUUGGGGAGUCUGAGUGGCUUGGAACUUCUCUGGAUUGUUAUAAAAGCCUCUUAACAUCGUAUCAAUGAUGUAUUAUUAAUAAUGUAUUAUUAUUUUUUAAAAUUUAAUUUUAUUGGAGUAGAGUCGACUUACAUGCUGUAUUAGUUUCAGAUGUACAACAAAGUGAAUUAGUCACACAUAUAAAUAUAUCCAUUCUUUUUUCCCAUGUAGGUUACUACAAAUGAUCAAGUAGAUUUAAUCAUGUAUUAAGUUGGUAUUAAUACCGGUAAAUGCUAUUGAGGGCUCACUAUGCAUUGGUUAUUUUCGUUCCCUGUUAAAUCCCUGUGAGAAACUUUGAGAUGGGUAUUGCUACUUUUGCCAUUCUGUUGGUGAAAUGACCCUGCACCUUAGAGAGAUUAAGAAUCAGACUGUCACGGGAGUUCCCUAUGUGGCACAGCUGAAACGAAUCCGACUAGUAUCCAUGAGGAGGUGAGUUUUAUCCCUGGCCUCACUCAGUGGGUUGGGGAUCCUGCAUUGUCAUGAGCUGUGGUGUAGGUCUCAGAUCCCAAGUUGCUGUAGCUGUGGAGUAGUUGUAGCUAAUAGUCCUGAUUCGACUCCUAGCCUGGGAAUUUCCAUAUGCAAGGGUGCAGCCCUAAAAAGCCCCCCACCCCC
rnacentral:lncRNA from 1 species